CCGCGUGAAGGAUGAAUGCCCUAUGGGUUGUAAACUACUUUUGUACGAGACGAAACUCCUGGUCGUGACCGGGAUUGACUGUAUCGUGCGAAUAAGCAUCGGCUAACUCCGUGCCAGCAGCCGCGGUAAUACGGAGGAUGCAAGCGUUAUCCGGAUUUAUUGGGUUUAAAGGGUGCGUAGGCGGAAUAAUAAGUCAGUGGUGAAAGCCUGUGGCUUAACCAUAGAAUUGCCAUUGAUACUGUUAUUCUUGAGUAUAGUUGAAGUGGGCGGAAUGUGUAAUGUAGCGGUGAAAUGCUUAGAUAUUACACAGAACACCAAUUGCGAAGGCAGCUCACUAAGCUGUUACUGACGCUGAGGCACGAAAGCGUGGGGAGCAAACAGGAUUAGAUACCCUGGUAGUCCACGCCGUAAACGAUGAUCACUCGUUGUUGGCGAUACACCGUCAGCGACUGAGUGAAAGCAAUAAGUGAUCCACCUGGGGAGUACGGCGGCAACGCUGAAACUCAAAGGAAUUGACGG
rnacentral:rRNA from 1 species